rnacentral:rRNA from 1 species
AUUGAACGCUGGCGGCAGGCCUAACACAUGCAAGUCGAACGGUAACAGGAAGAAGCUUGCUUCUUUGCUGACGAGUGGCGGACGGGUGAGUAAUGUCUGGGAAACUGCCUGAUGGAGGGGGAUAACUACUGGAAACGGUAGCUAAUACCGCAUAACGUCGCAAGACCAAAGAGGGGGACCUUCGGGCCUCUUGCCAUCGGAUGUGCCCAGAUGGGAUUAGCUAGUAGGUGGGGUAACGGCUCACCUCGGCGACGAUCCCUAGCUGGUCUGAGAGGAUGACCAGCCACACUGGAACUGAGACACGGUCCAGACUCCUACGGGAGGCAGCAGUGGGGAAUAUUGCACAAUGGGCGCAAGCCUGAUGCAGCCAUGCCGCGUGUAUGAAGAAGGCCUUCGGGUUGUAAAGUACUUUCAGCGGGGAGGAAGGGAGUAAAGUUAAUACCUUUGCUCAUUGACGUUACCCGCAGAAGAAGCACCGGCUAACUCCGUG